rnacentral:lncRNA from 1 species
UUGAUUUUAGGAUGAAUUUUGGUUAAAGGAAAAAGUUGAUUUGGUGAGAUUUUUGCUUGGCUUUGGUGGGAGAAAGAAAAGCAAUUCUUUUUCCUUGAAAAUGGAAUGACCUACGGCAACAUGAAGGAAAGAAGAAGACAACCCCUUUUCACUUUGCUUUGUCAUUUCAUUCAUGCAUAGUUAGGUGACACAUGGAGGAUAAACUGAA